CUCCCCCAUAGGAGGAGAUUCAUCAACAUUUGUGCAGAGGAAAAGUCGGCCAGUUGCCCAUAGCAACCAAUUAGAUGGCUUAUUUUAUGUGUUUAAGUGUAUUGUUUAUUACUAGGUCAUGCUGGGACCUGUAGGGCCUCCAUUUUACAGUCCAGUGACAUACACUGAAAUUCCCCUGGACUUAAGAUCUCUAGCUGAAUCUUUUACUUCAUCAGAAGACUGGCCAUAGGUGACCAAAACAAGGAUCUGCGCAACAUUUUCUGCUGCUCUGCUGCCGGCUGACUCAGUAAAAUUUCACUCUUCAACGAAUAAUCAUUCAACAAGAAAACAGUAUUUGUCUCAUCACUGUACUGGGCAAGGCCUAUGCGGACUUUGUUGAUGCCAACAUCAAGGCUGGAAGCCAAGCCAUAGACGAAAUCCUUUACAUCUGCAAAAGCAUCUUCACUGAUUUGGUUUGAACUCUCUACAAGGAAGACGAUAUCCGCCUGGUUAGCAUUUCGGCAACCUGAAAGAGAAUGGACAUUGCAGUUGAUAAUAUUUCAAUUUUCUAUUAAAGUAAUUAUAAAACACAUAAUAGUAGCCAAGGGAAAAGAUGUAAAAUAGACUUUCCAUCUGUGCUUUUCCUGAAUCAUUUUUCAAUAUGAUGUUCAUUGUGUACUUGUCAUAUCACACAUUUACACAUGACAUAUACUCCAUAUGAACUUACUUACUAGAAAUGAGUAGGGGUCAAAUAAGAUACAUUGCUGACUAAAUCUAUAGAUAUAUAUUCUCUUCUGUGGUGUCUAAUAGUUCUGAUCUGUCUGAAGAAAAUGUAAGAAAGUUCUGUAUUAUAGAUCCCUUAGGCUUAACUCAUGUUAAAGGAGCAGAAUAUUACUUUUCUUUACCUGUAUUUUUGCAUCAAGAACUUGAAAAAAGAAUGGUGGUUCCAGCUCGCAGAAAAAAAUCAAAAAUAAAACUUAACGUUUAAUAUAGCAUGUUAAAAUCCGGUAA